UCUUUUUAAAGAGGGUUUGGCAUUUGGAAAGGCAGCUGGGACAAAACAAACGUUAGAUGAGGGAAACUUCUUUUUAAGGAUGUAUUCUUUCAGUUAUCUGUAGAGAGCUGUGAGAGAUCAGUGUGGCAGUCCAUCAGCUGUAUGCAGGGAGGCUCCAGCAGUGUACCAAUACCUUUGGCAGGAAUUGGUUUUAGUAGCAAAUUACUGGUUUGUGGCAUGAGCUGCUGCUUUGAACUGACAGGAUGAUUAAACUUGUUGCUCCUUUCUGUGAGACAGCACAUGCCCAGCGCACUAGCCAGAAAGCCUUGUAAUGCUUCAAAGCAGUUUAGAUACUGAUACCAUCAAAGCUUAGCUGAAAAGGAUCCUGCACAGCCAUGUCCAUGCAGUCUGUGCAGGUGCACUGCCAGCAGAACAGAUUCCAACUGAUGCAUUUAAAUCCGAUGGAGAUGACCAUGGAAGGAUCUCUGCUGCAAUGAGAGUGCUUUUUAUGUCCACUGCCAGUGAAGCACCCUGUGCCAAGCUGGUGCAUGCAAGGGGAUGAGUGAGAUCAAGUGCGGAUGCUGCCCAAGCAUUCUGGGAGACAUGGUUCCUGCCCUGAAGAACUGAUGGUCUCGGGGGAUACUGCAAGGAACAGUCAAGGAGUAGCAUCACCUGUUUAAUAGUGAUCAGUUCCUUCACCCUUCUGAGGCUGGUUCUUUGUUCCUGUGGAUGCCUGUUCCAGAGCUGCUGCCACCUUCUGAGAAGGGGCAUGGACCACACAGUGGCAGAUUUUCUCUGGAGGGGCUGCCUGGGAGUAGCUGACAUUCCUGGGGACUGCCAGUGAUAGAUUUACUUUUUCUAAGGUGCAGAUAUUGGUGGCAGAGAGUCUGUUUUGAUGCUUCCUGGACCCAUGCCACCUUUGUGAGACCACCUUCCACAGAGGCUGCAAGGCAUUUGGGAAGCUGCAAAUCUAAAGCCGCCACAAUGAGUUCAGUUUGCAUGUAGAAGGAAUUGCUGGCCUAGGAGGUUUAUCUGCAGCUUUUGGAAAUCCCAGGCCUGUUCCUCUUCCUCUUCAGGCAGCAUCCUGCUGAUGUCUGCUCUGUAGGACUGGUGGCUCUUGCAGAUUGCCAAGGCCGGUUGUUGGUGGCAGAUGCUGUGCCCAAGCUGUGGCUGGCAGUGGGUGCUGGGGAAGGACAGGGUGAUGGUCAGGCCCCAAGGCAAGUUUGCCUGUGAGGGAAGGAUUUGGGUGCAUGUCCUCAGGAGCCGCUUACUGGCAGACCAUUCUUAGGGAAUUAACCUUGGUGCAGACAGAAAAGCCAUGAGUGUAACUGUCUUGCUGUUAAAGGAGGGCUCACCUAGGUGAAUGCCUUGCCAUGGCCCCAGGGUGGGAGGAGAGAGCUUGGUGAGGCCAGGCAGCCCCAACACUUCUGCAGGCAUCUCUUGGGAAUGCUUGUGUUGUGGUAUGCAGGCUCCAUAACUUUAAGCAUGCUUUUGAGAGGAAGAGUUCUGUGACAAGGACUGAAAUGUCACCCUGACUGUUCAGUUCUGGGAGCUGCACUUCUCUGACCACAAGCAUUUGCUAGGGCCAGGACUGGUAGGCAUGUGGCAGCUGAUGUCCUGGCGUUCCUCCUGCUUUCCUUAGUGCCCUCAUUAGUCUGGGAGGCUGGAGCCUGGCAGUUCUCUGUCUCUUUGCACCUUUUAGCUUUGCUCCUAAGGAUUGGUAUGUGCUGGGCUGUCUGUUUAUUGGCUGGAGUUCGCUAAUGGAGGUAUAAGCAUUCUGGAUUCUUUGUAGAACUUUGUUUGCAAAUGUCCUGGAAUACAGGUGCAAAUGGCUGUAAGGAAAAUGCCUUUUAUCAUUCAAGAUAAAGAACAUCCUAAAGCCUUGGAGACGUCACUUCAUUCAGGAAUUAAAUUGCAAGAGCCAUCUGGUGUCACAUAAGUUUCAUUUAAUAGGUCAUUCACUUAAAUAAAGUUUCUGUAGAAAUCAAUAUCUCCUUCUCUUGCAAUUGACAGCUCAAGACAUUGAAAAUGGCAUUUUUCACAUAAGAUUUAUUUAAUUUUAGUAAGAAGAAUCCCUCCCACGCCCUCUACUUGGUCUAGGCAGCUCUGGUACAAGGUUAAGAGUCUGCUGAGGUGGAAACCUGCCCUGUCCUUUCCCACAGGUAUAACAUGAAGUCAUUUCAGCACCGGCUUGCCAAUCUGAUGUGCAGUCAAGACGACAUUUUCACAGGGCUGUAUCAGAUGUCAGUUCACAGCUCACUGGAGGAAACAGGGACAAGUGCAUUCUCUCUUAUGCAUGAAUUUGGCAGGGCAGAAUUACUCACUAUAUAGCAGAACUGGACUUUCUGUAGAGGCAGGUAUCUGUGUGCUAUUGUGUGCUAUGAAGAGUGGAGACUUCAAAAAGGAUACUCCUGUGUCCAGGGCAAGUGCAUCUUAUAUCUUCAGAACCCCUAAU